CCGUAAGCACGCUGAAACACCGGUUCUCGUACGAUCACCGAAGUUAAGCAGCGUAGAGCCAUGUCAGUACUUAGAUGGGGGACCGCUUGGGAACACCUGGUACUGUAA
rnacentral:rRNA from 1 species